rnacentral:rRNA from 1 species
GUCGAACGGCAGCGCGAGAGAGCUUGCUCUCUUGGCGGCGAGUGGCGGACGGGUGAGUAAUAUAUCGGAACGUGCCCAGUAGCGGGGGAUAACUACUCGAAAGAGUGGCUAAUACCGCAUACGCCCUACGGGGGAAAGGGGGGGAUCGCAAGACCUCUCACUAUUGGAGGGGCCGAUAUCGGAUUAGCUAGUUGGUGGGGUAAAGGCUCACCAAGGCAACGAUCCGUAGCUGGUUUGAGAGGACGACCAGCCACACUGGGACUGAGACACGGCCCAGACUCCUACGGGAGGCAGCAGUGGGGAAUUUUGGACAAUGGGGGAAACCCUGAUCCAGCCAUCCCGCGUGUAUGAUGAAGGCCUUCGGGUUGUAAAGUACUUUUGGCAGAGAAGAAAAGGUAUCCCCUAAUACGGGAUACUGCUGACGGUAUCUGCAGAAUAAGCACCGGCUAACUACGUGCCAGCAGCCGCGGUAAUACGUAGGGUGCAAGCGUUAAUCGGAAUUACUGGGCGUAAAGCGUGUGUAGGCGGUUCGGAAGAAAGAUGUGAAAUCCCAGGGCUCAACCUUGGAACUGCAUUUUUAACUGCCGAGCUAGAGUAUGUCAGAGGGGGGUAGAAUUCCACGUGUAGCAGUGAAAUGCGUAGAUCUGUGGAGGAAUACCGAU